GGCGCCUUAACCCCUUCGGCGCCGCCCGCGGUCAGCGGGGCCGGCUCCGUGCGCUGCCUCAGGGCUCCCGGCCGGGACCAGCCCCCUCCUGAUCGGCGGGGCACGGGCGGCGGCAUCGACCACCGCCGGCCGGGGGAACAGAAGAAAAUCAAGCCCCAGAAAAGCCUCUCAGAACAUCGGCACCUGUUACUGGACCUACCUGAACACAGAAAUCAAGGGUAAAAUGCACACACCGGAACCAUCAGCAUCCAGAGUACAGAUAACAGCCGGAGAACAAAGAGCUCACACUCAAUUGAGGAUCCUUCAGGAAGUUGUGAGUGUUGACACAGUUAAGGGGCUGUUACGAGUACUUCUUUUGAAUGUGGAAAGCAGAGCAUUAAUAACAGCAAGAAGUUUCUUAUUUCUUUUGUCUGAGCUCCAGAGUUACAUAUGCUACAAGAACUUGUAGAUUUAAAGGUAUGCGUUGUAUACAAGUGAAUAAAAAUACAGCCCUAACAUUUGUAAUGUAUCUG
rnacentral:lncRNA from 1 species